rnacentral:rRNA from 1 species
UGGGGAAUAUUGCACAAUGGGCGCAAGCCUGAUGCAGCGACGCCGCGUGAGGGAUGACGGCCUUCGGGUUGUAAACCUCUUUCAGUAGGGAAGAAGCGAAAGUGACGGUACCUGCAGAAGAAGCGCCGGCUAACUACGUGCCAGCAGCCGCGGUAAUACGUAGGGCGCAAGCGUUAUCCGGAAUUAUUGGGCGUAAAGAGCUCGUAGGCGGUUUGUCGCGUCUGCCGUGAAAGUCCGGGGCUCAACUCCGGAUCUGCGGUGGGUACGGGCAGACUAGAGUGAUGUAGGGGAGACUGGAAUUCCUGGUGUAGCGGUGAAAUGCGCAGAUAUCAGGAGGAACACCGAUGGCGAAGGCAGGUCUCUGGGCAUUAACUGACGCUGAGGAGCGAAAGCAUGGGGAGCGAACAGGAUUAGA